rnacentral:rRNA from 1 species
GAUGAACGCUGGCGGCGUGCCUAAUACAUGCAAGUCGAGCGAACAGACGAGGAGCUUGCUCCUUUGACGUUAGCGGCGGACGGGUGAGUAACACGUGGAUAACCUACCUAUAAGACUGGGAUAACUUCGGGAAACCGGAGCUAAUACCGGAUAACAUGUUGAACCGCAUGGUUCAACAGUGAAAGACGGUCUUGCUGUCACUUAUAGAUGGAUCCGCGCCGCAUUAGCUAGUUGGUAAGGUAACGGCUUACCAAGGCAACGAUGCGUAGCCGACCUGAGAGGGUGAUCGCCACACUGGAACUGAGACACGGUCCAGACUCCUACGGGAGGCAGCAGUAGGGAAUCUUCCGCAAUGGGCGAAAGCCUGACGGAGCAACGCCGCGUGAGUGAAGAAGGUCUUCGGAUCGUAAAACUCUGUUAUUAGGGAAGAACAAAUGUGUAAGUAACUAUGCACGUCUUGACGGUACCUAAUCAGAAAGCCACGGCUAGCUACGUG